GACAGAGGGUGCAAACGUUGCUCGGAAUCACUGGGCGUAAAGGGCGUGUAGGCGGGAGGGAAAGUCAGAUGUGAAAUCCCCAGGCUCAACCUGGGAACUGCAUUUGAAACUCCCCUUCUUGAGUACCGGAGAGGAAAGUGGAAUUCCUGGUGUAGAGGUGAAAUUCGUAGAUAUUCGGAAGAACACCAGUGGCGAAGGCGGCUCACUGGCCCGGUACUGACGCUGAGGUGCGAAAGCGUGGGGAGCAAACAGG
rnacentral:rRNA from 1 species